GACGAACGCUGGCGGCGUGCUUAACACAUGCAAGUCGAACGAAGUGGCGAACGGGUGAGUAACGCGUAAUCAACCUGCCCUGCAGAGGGGGACUACAGUUGGAAAAGACUGCUAAUACAGAAUACUGAAGACGGGGGUUGAUUCUGGUUAGCUAGUUGGAGGGGUAACGGCCCACAAAGGCGAUGAUAAGUAGCCGGUGCGGUAGGAUGACCGGCCAAAUUGGGACUGAGACACGGCCCCGACUCCUACGGGAGGCAGCAGGGGGGAAUCGUCGGCCAUGGACGGAAGUCUGACGGAGGAACGCCGCGUGAUGGAUGACGGCCUUCGGGUUGUAAAGCUCUGUUAAUCGGGACGCGGUACCGGAAUAGAAAGCCACGGCUAACUACGUGCCAGCAGCCGCGGUAAUAC
rnacentral:rRNA from 1 species